UACGUAGGGUCCGAGCGUUGUCCGGAAUUACUGGGCGUAAAGAGCUCGUAGGUGGUUUGUCGCGUUGUUCGUGAAAACUCACAGCUCAACUGUGGGCGUGCGGGCGAUACGGGCAGACUAGGGUGCGGUAGGGGAGACUGGAAUUCCUGGUGUAGCGGUGAAAUGCGCAGAUAUCAGGAGGAACACCGGUGGCGAAGGCGGGUCUCUGGGCCGAUACUGACGCUGAGGAGCGAAAGCGUGGGGAGCGAACAGG
rnacentral:rRNA from 1 species